rnacentral:lncRNA from 1 species
CAAAGGUCGAAAGGCAUGGCGGGUGAGUGAGUACCCGCUUGUUAGGGGGCGGGGUUAGGGUCAUCCAGGUGUUUUGUUCUUACAAUCCCGGCUGUUGUUUAUUAUAAAAGUUAGAGAAUUGGGCGUGGCAGGUUAGGGAAGUAGGGGCGAAGAUGUCUUAAGGCUGCUUCCUGCUGGCCUGGGGCGUUGAUCGUCUUUGGGAGGUUGGGGGUGCUGCCACGUCCUGGAGUUGAUUGUUGUUUCAUUGUAGUCCGGGCCACUCUGGUGCCUUUUAGUCCUGGCAAGAUGUUUGUUGAAUAGAGGACAAGGUUAAGUUUAGGAAAAAAAUUUGGCGCCCUGGACGUGGGAAGGCUCUGCCCUUGGUACCCCCUCCACAUCCCGCUGGCGGGUACGUGUUGGGUCAAGGGCAUCCUUAUCACGAGGAUAAACAAUCCACAUUCCAGAUCACCGGUUUGCUGGAUUCUACAUACAACACCGGACCCAAUUCGCUUGUUAGGGGGCGGGGUUAGGGUCAUCCAGGUGUUUUGUUCUUACAACCACCCCUGAUUUCAAGCUCUACUACAGAGCUAUAGUAAUAAAUACCACAUGGUAUUCCUAUAAAAACACACAGGUGGAUCAAUGGAAUUGAAUCGAAGACCCAGAAGUAAGUCCAAACAUAUAUGGAUACCUGAUUUUCAAUAAAGAAGCCAAAAUUAUACAAUGAAAAAAAAAAAAAGAAAAAAGAAAGCACCUUCAACAAAUGGUGCUGGCAAAACUGAAUGGCACCAUGUAGAAGAAUCCAAAUAGAUCCAUAUCUAUCACCAUGCACAAAACUUAAGUCUAGGUGAAUCAAAGAUUUCAAUAUAAAUCCAGAUAUACUGAGCCUGAUAGAAGAGAAAGUGGGGAAUAGCCUUGAACAUGUUGACACAGAAGACAACAUCCUGACUAUAAAUAACACCAGUAGCACAGACACUGAGAUCUACAAAUAAUAAAUGGGACCUCCUGAAACUGAAAAACUUCUGUAAAGCAAAGGACACUGUCAAAGACAAAAUGACAGCCUACAGAAUGGGAAGAUCUCCACCAACCCCACAUUUCACAGAGGGCUGAUCUCCAAAAUAUAUAAAGAAUUCAAGAAACUAGACAUCAAAAUACCAAAUAAUACAAUUAAAAAGGGGUACAGAUCUAAACAGAGAAUUCUCAAUAGAAAAAUCUGAAAUGGCUGAUAUACACCGAAAGAAAUGUUUAACAUCCUUAGAUAUCAGGGAAAUACAAUCAAAACAGCUCUGGAAUUCCAUCUUACAGCUGUCAGAAUAACUAAGAUCAAAACCACAAAUGGUGGCUCGUGCUGGUGAAAAUUGGAUCAAGGGGGAACACUCCUCCAUUGCUAGUGGGAGUGCAAACUUGUACAGCCACUUUGGGAAUCAAUAUGGCAGAUUCUCAGAAAAUUGGGACUCAACCUAUCUUAAGACUCAGUUAUACCCCUCCUGAGCAUAUACCCAAAGAAAGCUCCACCAUACCACAAGGACACUUAUUCAACUAUGUUAUGUUCAAAGCAACUGAAAACAACCUAGAUGUCCCUCAACAGAAGAAUGGAUAAAGAAAAUGUGGUACAUUUGCACAAUGGAGUAUUACUCAGUGUUAAAAACAAUGACAUCAUGAAAUUUGAAGGCAAAUUGAUGGAAUUAGAAAAAAAUCAUCCUGAGUGAGGUAACACAGACCCAGAAAGACAAACAUGUGUUAACUCGAUGAAGAUGUAUAAUGAAAAGGAGCAAGCAGAGAAAGGAAAAAUAUACAAUGUACAAUUUGAGGAGAAGGAGAACCAGGCAGUGGACUGGAGCUAAGUCCUGUGUUCAAGAAGAUAAACAGAUGAAGAAAUGGAAUAAAGAGAGUGGUGAUCCCAUGAAGCUAAGUUUCCAACUAAAGGAAUUAAAGACAAGCUUAGAACUAGGUGUGGUGGUGUAUGUCUGAAGAGACCAGCUUCCCUUUUGGCAGCCAUAACAGCUGAACACGUGCUUGCUAUAACCUUGUCUUGGUCACUUAGAGGUCAGAUGCCUGCCUCGUGGCAAGGAAGCAAUCAGAAGUUAGCUGGUGGUGCUAUGCUUUAUGGCUCUGGGUGUGCUUUAUGGACAAGCGCACAGCAAUGGCGCACAGAGCAUAGUAACCACCCUGGGAGGGCCUAUGGGCCAUAACCAGUUGACCAAUCAAUACAAGGCAAACCCUCCAAGCCUGGAGGCACACCAAUCCUGAACCUGUGUGUACCCCUACACACUCCCCUUACGCUGCCCUAUAAAGAUCUGUAUGCAGUGGCUUCGAACUGUCUUUGUUAGCCAUCCGACAUGGCAGGUGGAUCAAAGACCCGAGCUAACAUGGGGUUAGCUCGUUAAACUACAAUAAAGCCUCAUGCAAUUUGCAUCAAGCUUUCGCCUCCAUUCUAUGAUGGGGUGGCCGUGGUCCUGGGCUAAGAUCCUGGAAGCCUGAGCUUUUCGAGGGUUUUACAUGUCUUUAAUACCAGCCCUUUAGAGGAAGAAGCUGCUGGAUGUCUGAGUUUGAGGCCAGCCUUAUCUACAGAGUGAGCUCCAAGAUAGCCAAACUUAGGUGGAGAAGGUUACCAGAAAUGCUCAAGCUAUGCCCAGUGUGGUAGACAGUUCACUUCCUGCUGCCUUUGAAUCAAAAUGUAAAACUCUCAGCUCCUUCUCCAGCACCAUGUCUGCCUGCAUGCCACCUACCAUGAUGAUGAUGGACUAAACCUCUGAACUGUAAGAUAGCCAAUUAAAUGUUUUCUUUUAUAAAAAACUGCUAUAGUCAAUAGUAACUUCACAAUUAUAGAAACCCUAACUAAGACACAGGUGAAUGGAUACAACAGAGCCACUAGAUGUUCCACCCCGGCCCACCCAUCAAAACAGGAAACAAGAACAUUUUCUGAAGGGCUUUAAGCAACAGGAGACAAGAGGCCAUUGUGAGGUGACUAUAAAGGGCAGAGGAGCCCUCAGGCUACAGUGGAUCCUUCAGAGGGCUACAGGUCAUGUGCCACCUGCAAGUUCUUCUCGAUUGUCUUGAAUAAGUGGUUCAGCUUGUACUGUUUUACUUAGGAAAUUCUUCGAUAUAAGAGGAAAUCUGACUUUAGCAAGGAUAUCAACCAUAAAUGGCUGGUAAUUAGGCUCAUCGUAUUUUAACCACCUCACUGCAGCGUCAUAAACCUGGUCCUCUGCUCUCACAGUCAGAGUGUCCUGGCUAAGAAGCUGGGUUACUUGUUUGACAUCAAGUUGUAGAAAUUCAUCAGUUUUGUAAACUUUGGUAAAAUGCUGGUGAAUAAAGUCAUCUGCUGUUGCUUUCAGUUCAGGACAGUCCAGACACUCUGCAAGCACACUUAUACCAAGACAAUUUGAUGCGUCCACCUGUUCCUUCAAAAAAUCAACACACAUUUUCUUCACAGGUUCAAUCUGGUACUGAUUGGCUGCAUCUAACAAUGACUGGACGUUGUUGCUAUUCACAGAAAUUCUAGCAGUAUAAGCAAAUUCCACCAGCUGUUCAAUAAUACCAGGUUCAGCAUCUUUGAGUUCUACUUCAAAGGACUUAGAUUCAAGCAUGUUGGUUGUGAACAUUAAGUUAAAAAAAAGUGACUGGCUGCAGCAAGGACAACACGGUGAGCAGGAAUCUUUCUUCCCUGGACCAUGAGGAUCACAUCACACAAUGUUCUUUGCUUCCUCAUGGUGUUCAUGACGCCCAUGAAGCCCACGAGCAGCUUGGCCUCCUCGCGAGCGGCGAGUUUCUUCUCUGUCUUCUUCUUGCUGCUCUUCUCCACGCCCGAGGUGGCCAUCCGGGUUUGCCCACCACGCGCGCGGCGAGGGCUGCAGAGCACGGG